GACGAACGCUGGCGGCGUGCCUAAUACAUGCAAGUUGAGCGCUGAAGGUUGGUACUUGUACCCACUGGAUGAGCAGCGAACGGGUGAGUAACGCGUGGGGAAUCUGCCUUUGAGCGGGGGACAACAUUUGGAAACGAAUGCUAAUACCGCAUAAAAACUUUAAACACAAGUUUUAAGUUUGAAAGAUGCAAUUGCAUCACUCAAAGAUGAUCCCGCGUUGUAUUAGCUAGUUGGUGAGGAAAAGGCUCACCAAGGCGAUGAUAUAUAGCCGACCUGAGAGGGUGAUCGGCCACAUUGGGACUGAGACACGGCCCAAACUCCUACGGGAGGCAGCAGUAGGGAAUCUUCGGCAAUGGACGAAAGUCUGACCGAGCAACGCCGCGUGAGUGAAGAAGGUUUUCGGAUCGUAAAACUCUGUUGGUAGAGAAGAACGUUGGUGAGAGUGGAAAGCUCAUCAAGUGACGGUAACUACCCAGAAAGGGACGGCUAACUACGU
rnacentral:rRNA from 1 species